UGUGCCUAUGUAUCUUCAGCACUUGUAAAACUUGACUCAAAGGGCCCUUCUCUUUUUAACCAACUAAAUUCUCGGAAGAGCUUUGCAGACCUGUUGACAGAGCACCAGAGGCUGAUGGUGAAAAAGGAGCAGACCCGGUGAGCAAAGCUGCCCCAGGGGGCUGGGGGUCGGUGCUGGGUACACCCUCAGCGCCCUCAGCCUGCAUGCAUUUCUGGAGGGUAUGAGGCCACCUGGCCAAAGUCGGGAGCGGCAGUGAUUAAUUCACCUUGUUUAGGGUGCUGUCAUCGCAAUGAGAUGGACGAGGGCUCAGGAUGAUGGAUGAGGGCCGGAGCAAGGACUGAUAAGACAUGGCCCAUGAAUCUGUUCUACAUCAUCGGCUCCUUUGAUCACUGACAGAAGUUCAGAGAUGGGCCUGCGCAUCUGUCCAAACAAACAAAAGCCUCUUCCCUCCCAGAACCCUCCCUUACUAUCCCCCAGCUCCAAUACCCCGACUCUCAGGUUAGCUCUCACUUGUAAACAAACAGUGGAGAGACAAAAAUGGAAUGACAGAGAGGACAUCCAUCUGAGAGCAAGAUGAAGUGAUAAAGAAAGAAAGAGAGUGGGACAUGGAUUGAAAAAGACAGCGAGACAGACAGACAGAGAGAGAGAGAGAGAGAGAGAGAGCAAAGUAUCCAUAAGGGGUGGAGGCUUGGAGCCUGUGAACCAUGGCAGCAUGGUUUAAAGCCCCCCAAAAGGAGCCCUCCUCUGCAAUGACAGAUUCGGCAGAUAAGAGAUGAUCCAUGAAAGCCGAUCGGUGUGCUGACAGCAGGAGAGAGGCCUUGGCCCCGGCCGGCAGGGUGCAUUACUGUGGGCAAACGCAGCUGUCAGGGCCAAACGGGCCCUCAGCUUUCUGCCAUGCCACCACACUGACGUCACACAGCGAGAGCCAGGGCCUGUCCACCCCCUACUUCACUCCCUCCAGUCACCGAACACUGCAUUCCAGCACUGAAACAUUCCCAGGCCAGUCUAUUGCACAACUUCAUUUUGGGGUAUAUAUCAGCUGACAGGUGUUGAAAUUAACCUAUCUCAACCAUUCUCUGACAUAUUGACAAUGUGUAAAGGAAUGCAGGGGUGCACUGAGUGAAGGAUUUCUGACAGACUAAGGAGCUUUAGCACUAGUCUCAAGAUAGACAGACAGAAAUAUGGACAGCAUGGAGAAUGAGAUCCACUGUGUAAAACAGGAGACUUUCAUGUACUUUCCCUGCUGAACACGCGGCUGCACGGCGCUUAUUCCACCAGCCUCCUAAGAAAAUUACCCCAUCUACCAAGGGAGCUGAGAAAAAAGGAGUGCAGACGAUUCCCUCAAGGAAAUGAAAGGACAGCGUGAACACUGACAUUGUGGACAAGGACACCAGGACUUUAUAAACAGUACAUAGUGCAAGACCCACUAUAAGGAAAGUCAACUAUACAUAUCAUUUUCUAUGUAACCAUUCAAAGCUCUGUAUCUGUAUGAGAUAAGAGCUGGGUAAAUGUACUUCGUAGUUCUGACCUUGGUCUGAGAACUGAUCGCUUUGGUCUUUUUCUCUUUUUGAUCUUGUAUCUCUCAGAGUCCCGCUUCACCUCUGUCCAUGCUUAAACACCGUCUCUCUCUCUCUCUCUCUUCCUCUCACCCCCUUUUCCUCUCUACAUUCUCUUGCUCACCUUUCUACUCACAUUAUAAGCUGAGAUGAAUACAUGAAAAGAUUGGUGACCUUUUAAUGAAAAUGUCAGUAUUCCUGUAGUGGGGGAGAGGCAAGCUCUGUGUUUCAGAGACCAAGCACAGUCUCCAUGACACUUGAGCUUUCACAAACUCAACUAUAUGUUCCAUGACAGCUCCUAAGUGUCUCUUUUUCUUUGCCUUCAUGUCUCCAAGUUUUUUUUUUCUUCUGAGACCUUCUUUGGCUACUUGUCCUCUUUUUAAAAUUCAGGGUUUUUUUGUCCUCUGUCUGAAAUGGAUUUUCAGUAUUCCAAUAGCAGUAGCAAUAUGCAUGCCUGUCCUCUUCUGUCGAUCCUAUUCCUAUUUAUGAGCACUGCUAACUAAAAUAAAAGAAGGGCCAAGAGGACACAGUAAAGAUGUCAUAUAAAAACAUUCCAAAUCUCAUGCAGAAAAUGUGUUUUGCAUUAAUGUCAGGACCUUUACAAAGAAAGUGAAUGAAUACUUCCAUGGUGCUUUCUGCAGUAAUGUUUCAACUGGGCUUGACAAACAUUCAAACAUUCAAAAAAGUCACAAGGGCUAAUGUCACUUUGAUGUCUUCCUUUCUAGCACUCUAGCUUUGUCUCUUCUCUUACCUCUUGCUUAGAAAUUGUAAUGUAGAUCCUCCUGAGUGGCUUACUCUAGCAGGUGCCACACAGAGCAGUCAUGAUCAUUUGUCAACUGUACCUCUGCCUUUUGUCACGUUUUGUCUUCCGUCUCUAUUUUUAGUGUGGCGAAAAGACGACAAGGCGAAGGUGUACUUUAAGUAAGUGACAACCUGACGCCCAGCUUUAUUUGAUGCUUUUCAGAUCAAAGCCUCACUGCAGGGCACGCUAAUUUGAAGUCCACCGCAGUGAUGAUCGCUGUGCAUGAUUACCCCACAAUGGCACUCCUAUUAAUCACAUCACUCUGAUUAUUCUAAUUUGAUUUGACUCAAUGAUGCCUCCCCCCAGUAGUACCUCUCUCUUGUUCUGUCUCUCUCUCUCUCUCUCUCUCUCUCUUUCUCUCUCUCUCUCUCUCUCUCUCUCUCUCUCUCAUCACCGUCAUCACAACGUCUCCCAAUAAAACUGUCAAGUAGGGCGCCUGCUCUCCACAGUAAGUGGAUGACAUUUAAAAGGCUACAACAUGACUGACAGUGUACUCACAGAGGGAGGGAGUGAGAGUGCAGAGGGGGGAGGAAGACAAGGAGAGAGAGAAGAUGAGGGAAUGAGGGGAUGCCCAUGUUAAUACUUACAAAUGACUAAUGUCUCCCCCAGCAGGUGCCAUGGCCAGACAAACUGGAUAAAUAUUGAGAUUCCUCCGAGCACAGCAGCAUGCAAAAUGAAGCCCAACUGUUUCUGAUGCAACUCAGUAGAAGUGACUGGCCCUGCCGAAUAGCUUAGCCCUGUCUUUCCCCAUCACUCUGCUUGCCUAAUAGUUUUGUUUCUAGCCCAUCCAGACUUGCACAGGAUCCAUCUACUGUACGAAUAAUGUCUGGCUUUUGCUGUCAGCAUUUAUUGAUAUGUAAAGUUACAUAUGAACACAAACCAUGGACUACAUUUCAUGUGAACUAAUAGUAUACAUUUUUUGAAAAUGACUGAGGUGUGGUAUGAAUAUGUGAAUGUUAUGUAAUAUAUUAUUUUAAUGUGCAUUGGCUCUGCAUUGCAUAGUAAAACUUAAAUGAAAGAACUGUAAACAGGAUAUAAACCAAGCCCUCCUCAAAAGGUGAAAACAUUAUAUCUUUAAAAUGUCAGCUUUCCUGGAAUCAAAACAGCUUUGUUUUUUGAUUGACAACUGACAGCA